GCACUUGAAUCUUUCUCAGUCCUGCUGCUUGGUGCUGGCCUGGGGACAGAAGGUGCUAGAACAGAGCAGAGGAAAUCCAGACGGGCUGUUUCCAUUUGUCCUGGGGCCUGUCUCUACACCUCUGCCACACUU